rnacentral:misc_RNA from 1 species
AGGAAACACAGCCCGACUGGUACAGACGCGACUGAGAAAGGACCCCGCGAGAGAGGCGCGCACAACGAUGGAGCCCUACUACGAGCCGGACUCAGAGUUUCGCGAGCCGCUCACGGACGUGGAUGCGUUCCUCGACAGUGCGCGGUACAACGAAGCCGGUGACCUGGAUCUGCUUAAGGCGUACCUGGAUAAGAACCCGAGCGACGUCGACGCGCGGGAUGAGCAGGGCCGCACAGCGGUGCACAUGGCAGCUGCGAAUGGCCACAUGCCCAUCUUGGAGAUGCUCUUCCAGUUCAACCCCCAACCGAAUGUCCCGAAUGACGAGGGCAAUACGGCCCUGCACUUUGCUGCGCUGAACAACCGCGUUGCUGCGGCGGAGGCGCUGCUGGCGCACGGGUGGAGGGCGGCUGAGCAGAACAUCAUGGGCAAGACGGCGCUGCAGCUCAUCUACGAAAAGCAGUACAACGAGAUGGAGACGCUGCUCAUGAGCCGUGAUGAGACGCUCGACACCUAUGUUCCGCCCACCGAGGCUUCCGUGAUGGUCGACCUCUCAGCCAAGGAAGGGGGCAAGGACGAGGACAGCGGGCGAGACGAGAAGGCAACCGAAGAGGCGAAGGUCGCGGCAGAACGCAAGAUGCCACCGGCACCCAUAGCGCCUGCAAAGAAGAUUGUGCCAUCGGCGAGCAAGGCGCCAGCGCCUGCGGUGCCGGUGGAUGCGACAACCAGUACACAGAUGCUUGGCUCUGCCUCUGUGGAUGGUAUCGAGUAGGCCCAGAUGGCAAAAUGAGACGUCGCGUCUAUUUUUACGUAUGCGAGCGUAUGCACCAACGCUUCAUCUGGCUAACGCUCAUCCCCUUUCUUGUUUUCUUACGCACUCCUGCGCCGCGACUACGGAAAGGGUGGGGGCGAGGGCGGAGGGGCAGGGGUGUUCUCAGGGGGGCAACGUGACGCCGAACAUUAAUCAACAGUGACAAAACGAUACCAACAUCAUUCAGACGGCGCGGAUGCUUCACGGGGGGGUUGACGGGAGCCAUAUACGAGGAAGACAACAGAGCAGGAGGGUGCGUCGUCCAGCGUUGUUCAAGGAGUGUGUUUGUGGGUGUGACUGAACGCGUUUUGCUGCCUAGCUCCAACCGUAUCAUUCCUUUGCUCAUUGUCCGCUCGCUGGCCGGAUGCACAAGCCACUCACCUCCACAACGCGCGCGAGACGGCAGAGCAGAAGCGCCACCGCGACGAAUGAGGGUCAGCAGCCAGCAGGGUAUGACACACACAUACACACAAACGCACACACACAUGCACAUCAUCCCAUGCACGGCCAAUUAAUCUCUGUGCCCCACCCCCUCCUUUGACACCUCUUGUCCUUUGCCGUCUUCCUGCUCUGGUGCUCCCCCUCUGCGUCCUCGCUGCUGUCGAGGUGGAUCAUACUUCGCUGCUCUCUUCAUUUCCAGUUUUGCUUGCCUUCUCGCGAUGCCGAUCCCUGGAGUUACAGAGCACGCCCAC